rnacentral:rRNA from 1 species
UCGCACCUACCGAUUGAAUGGUCCGGUGAAGCCUCGGGAUCGCGACGAGCUUCCUUUAUUGGGGGUCCGUCGCGAGAACUUGUCUAAACCUUAUCAUUUAGAGGAAGGUG